AUUGAACGCUGGCGGCAGGCCUAACACAUGCAAGUCGAGCGAGCGGCGGACGGGUGAGUAAUGUCUGGGAAAAUGCCUGAUGGAGGGGGAUAACUACUGGAAACGGUAGCUAAUACCGCAUACCAUCAGAUGUGCCCAGAUGUGAUUAGCGAGACGGUGGGGUAACGGCUCACCUAGGCGACGCUCCCUAGCGGGUCUGAGAGGAUGACCAGCCACACUGGAACUGAGACACGGGCCCGACUCCUACGGGAGGCAGCAUUGGGGAAUAUUUCACAAUGGGCGCAAGCCUGAUUCAGCCAUGCCGCGUGUGUGAAGAAGGCCUUCGGGUUGUAAAGCACUUUCAGCAGGGAGGCGUUACCCGCAGAAGAAGCACCGGCUAACUCCGUGCCAGCAGCCGCGGUAAUAC
rnacentral:rRNA from 1 species